ACUUUUAUUUUAUAAUCAGAAUUAAGUGAUAAGUGAUAUACUUCUUACAGCACAUACAACUAAAGAAACUGUAAAAUUACCAGUUCUGGAAACUACAGUUAAAUCCAGAGAUAAAGUGGAAACUAAACAAAUAGUGAUUGGUGUGGUUACAAGAAUUGAUCUUUUGAACUAUAUUACCAGUGAAGAGGAAUCUCACCGUUACCAAACUCCUAGAAAUAAAUCUACAUGAUCGAAUCCUACUUUGAUCAUAAUUAAAUAUAACAUGAUCAAAUCAUAACUUUCUUAUAUUUUUAAUUGGACAACUGGAUUAAAAGAAACUUUCCGCAGUACAUUCCCUCCAAAUUGAUUAUUUUUAACUCUAUUUUUUCUAAAAUGCUUAAUGUAUUAGAUUAUGCAUAAGUAUAAAGUGUUACACCUUAUGAAAACAUUCCAUUUAGUAUGUAUAUUAUGGCAAAGAUAAGUAUUCCUGUAAUAGAUUAUGUUAUAUAUACAUAUGUUGUUACAUUGAUUUUAAUAUAUUUUAUUUUAGAAUUUUAUUUAAAUUUCAAUAACAAAAUAUAUCAAGCUUUAAAUCAAAAAUUUAAUUUGAUACUGUUAUGGAAUCGGAAUUGAAAUUUAUACAAAUUUUACUGCGGAUAAACUGUAGUCAUAAAUACAUUCCAAUUUAUGAUAUGAAAAUUUUAAUAAACUUAUUGAACCAAAA